rnacentral:rRNA from 1 species
GCAAGUCGAACGCGCAGCGAAAGGUGCUUGCACCUUUCAAGCGAGUGGCGAACGGGUGAGUAACACGUGGAUAACCUGCCUCAAGGCUGGGGAUAACAUUUGGAAACAGAUGCUAAUACCGAAUAAAACUUAGUAUCGCAUGAUACAAAGUUAAAAGGCGCUACGGCGUCACCUAGAGAUGGAUCCGCGGUGCAUUAGUUAGUUGGUGGGGUAAAGGCUUACCAAGACAAUGAUGCAUAGCCGAGUUGAGAGACUGAUCGGCCACAUUGGGACUGAGACACGGCCCAAACUCCUACGGGAGGCUGCAGUAGGGAAUCUUCCACAAUGGGCGCAAGCCUGAUGGAGCAACGCCGCGUGUGUGAUGAAGGCUUUCGGGUCGUAAAGCACUGUUGUAUGGGAAGAAAUGCUAAAAUAGGGAAUGAUUUUAGUUUGACGGUACCAUACCAGAAAGGGACGGCUAAAUACGUGCCAGCAGCCGCGGUAAUACGUAUGUCCCGAGCGUUAUCCGGAUUUAUUGGGCGUAAAGCGAGCGCAGACGGUUGAUUAAGUCUGAUGUGAAAGCCCGGAGCUCAACUCCGGAAUGGCAUUGGAAACUGGUUAACUUGAGUGUUGUAGAGGUAAGUGGAACUCCAUGUGUAGCGGUGGAAUGCGUAGAUAUAUGGAAGAACACCAGUGGCGAAGGCGGCUUACUGGACAACAACUGACGUUGAGGCUCGAAAGUGUGGGUAGCAAACAGGAUUAGAUACCCUGGUAGUCCACACCGUAAACGAUGAAUACUAGGUGUUAGGAGGUUUCCGCCUCUUAGUGCCGAAGCUAACGCAUUAAGUAUUCCGCCUGGGGAGUACGACCGCAAGGUUGAAACUCAAAGGAAUUGACGGGGACCCGCACAAGCGGUGGAGCAUGUGGUUUAAUUCGAAGCAACGCGAAGAACCUUACCAGGUCUUGACAUCCUUUGAAGCUUUUAGAGAUAGAAGUGUUCUCUUCGGAGACAAAGUGACAGGUGGUGCAUGGUCGUCGUCAGCUCGUGUCGUGAGAUGUUGGGUUAAGUCCCGCAACGAGCGCAACCCUUAUUGUUAGUUGCCAGCAUUCAGUUGGGCACUCUAGCGAGACUGCCGGUGACAAACCGGAGGAAGGCGGGGACGACGUCAGAUCAUCAUGCCCCUUAUGACCUGGGCUACACACGUGCUACAAUGGCGUAUACAACGAGUUGCCAACCUGCGAAGGUGAGCUAAUCUCUUAAAGUACGUCUCAGUUCGGACUGCAGUCUGCAACUCGACUGCACGAAGUCGGAAUCGCUAGUAAUCGCGGAUCAGCACGCCGCGGUGAAUACGUUCCCGGGUCUUGUACACACCGCCCGUCACACCAUGGGAGUUUGUAAUGCCCAAAGCCGGUGGCCUAACCUUCGGGAGGGAGCCGUCUAAGGCAGG